rnacentral:rRNA from 1 species
UACGGGGGGAGCAAGCGUUGUUCGGAUUUACUGGGUGUAAAGGGCGCGUAGGCGGCGCAACAAGUCACUUGUGAAAUCUCCGGGCUUAACCCGGAGCGGCCAAGUGAUACUGUCGUGCUAGAGUGCGGAAGGGGCUACUGGAAUUCUCGGUGUAGCGGUGAAAUGCGUAGAUAUCGAGAGGAACACCUGCGGCGAAGGCGGGUAGCUGGGCCGACACUGACGCUGAUGCGCGAAAGCCAGGGGAGCGAACGGG